rnacentral:rRNA from 1 species
AACGAACGCUGGCGGCAUGCCUAACACAUGCAAGUCGAACGAGACCUUCGGGUCUAGUGGCGCACGGGUGCGUAACACGUGGGAAUUUGCCUCGGGGUAUGGAAUAACUCAGGGAAACUUGAGCUAAUAUCAUAUAAUGUCUUCGGACCAAAGAUUUAUCGCCCUGAGAUAAGCCCGCGUAGGAUUAGCUAGUUGGUGGGGUAAAGGCUCACCAAGGCGAUGAUCCUUAGCUGGUCUGAGAGGAUGAUCAGCCACACUGGGACUGAGACACGGCCCAGACUCCUACGGGAGGCAGCAGUGGGGAAUAUUGGACAAUGGGCGAAAGCCUGAUCCAGCAAUGCCGCGUGAGUGAUGAAGGCCUGGUGUAAG